ACGGAGGAUCCAAGCGUUAUCCGGAAUCAUUGGGUUUAAAGGGUCCGUAGGCGGUUUAAUAAGUCAGUGGUGAAAUCUUGCAGCUCAACUGUAAAAUUGCCAUUGAUACUGUUAGACUUGAAUCAAUAAGAAGUAACUAGAAUAUGUAGUGUAGCGGUGAAAUGCUUAGAUAUUACAUGGAAUACCAAUUGCGAAGGCAGGUUACUAUUAUUGUAUUGACGCUGAUGGACGAAAGCGUGGGUAGCGAACAGG
rnacentral:rRNA from 1 species